rnacentral:lncRNA from 1 species
UCGGGGUGAGUCCAGCCUAGACAAGUUCUACAACAAAGACACAAUGGAGUCCCCACUGACAACAGCAUAGUCGCCGCUGCCACGACCAACGUUUCUGUGGCCUCCGCUGAGACACACGCCGUGAAAGGAGGUCUCCGGUGCCAUGGGACCCAUCUACAGCACAGCUCCUGCAUCCAAGACUCAAGAAGCCUCUUAGAAGAGGGAAGGGGAAAGAUUGUGAGAGCCAGCGGACCAGGAAAUCUGCUGUGAGAUUGUGCCUCCUAGAAAAAGGACAAGGCAGCUUAACCCACGAUGCAUGAUCACAAUUUUAAAAAAAGAUCGUCCCUGGGGCUGGAGAGAUGGUUCAACGCUUGAGAACGCUUGUUUUUCCAGAAGACCUGAGUUCGGUUCCUGGAACCCUUGUUGGCAGCUCACAGUCAACUAUGACUCUACCUCUAUAGAAUGAGGUGCUUUCGACUCUGACCUCCUCAGACACCCUAGCAUACACACACACACACAGAGAGAGAGAGAGAGAGAGAGAGAGAGAGAGAGAGAGAGAGAGAGAGAGAUACACACACAUAGAGCACACACCUCUAAUCCCAGCACUUGGGAGGCAGGGGCAGGUGGAUGCCUGUGAGUUCAAGGCCAGCCUGGCCUACACAGAGAAAGCCCAGGUCUCCACUUUGAGAUCUCCCAUUUAGUCAUAUCACCAAUGUGGCCACAAAGAGUCAAGACCAAAAGGAGAAAAUCCAGAAAGCAGAAAAAUGUGUCUCUGCUGCCUGGCCUGUGGCGUCACUGCAAAAAGACUCUUCAGUGAGAGUGGGGACCUGAUUACCCUAUCUCGUGUCUUUUUGGUUUUGGGUAAGGUAUGUGUGUGUGUGUGUAUGUGGGUGUGUGCGUGUGAGUGCAUGUGCCCACAGAGACUAGAGGUUUCAGAUCUCCUGUAACUGGAUUUACAGGUUGUAAGCUGCCUCACAUGAGUACUAGAAAAGGAAACUCCAGUUGUCUCUAAGAACAAGAAGCACUCCUAGCUGCUGAGCCAGCCGUCCCUCCAGCCCCCACUGGUACUUCUUAAAUACCUAACUGUGUAGUACAAAGAUGGCUCUCAAGUACAUACUGUUGGACGUGUGGAAUGACGGCUGCUGGGACAGAUAUGCAAAUGACCAGUCUUGCUGUGUCCAGCCACCUUCUACUAGCCUGUGGGUAUAAAAACAAACCACCCACCACCCACCACCCA